rnacentral:lncRNA from 1 species
UGCACUUGGAAGGGACGACCAAUAGUUCUGUGUUCCUGACCUGUCUUACAGUCUUUCGCUUCUAUCCGCAGUGGACCGUUUGGCUGAUCACGUCACUCUACAGCUGAACUUCUGCCACAUUUGAGCACCCACAUUAAAGACAAAAGUUGGGGAGAUAAUGGAGAGGCAAGACAACAAUAUGGGAUUGGCUGGAAAGAUGACAGACUGCAUAUGUACAUCAAAUAAAUUCCAAACGCAGCCGUCUAUUCCCAAGGUUUGGACAAAACAAAGGAACGAAUGUGGAACAGAAGUUUCAAAGACCUCUACGGAAAGAUAAAGUUCUCGGAGGUAUCAACCUCAUAUGAAAGGGUCUUUUAAAAGGUCAUUUUAUUAAAGCUAUGGAGAAGAAA